rnacentral:rRNA from 1 species
CAAGUCGAACGAGAACGGCCUUUAGCUUGCUAAGGGUGUCAGCUAAGUGGCGGACGGGUGAGUAAUGUAUAGUUAACUUGCCCCUUGGAGGGGGAUAACAGUUGGAAACGACUGCUAAUACCCCAUACUCCUUCUACCUUAAUGGUAGUUGGGAAAUGUUUUAUCGCCAAGGGAUAGGACUAUAUGAUAUCAGUUAGUUGGUGGGGUAACGGCCUACCAAGACAAUGACAUCUAGCUGGUCUGAGAGGAUGAUCAGCCACACUGGAACUGAGACACGGUCCAGACUCCUACGGGAGGCAGCAGUGGGGAAUAUUGUACAAUGGAGGAAACUCUGAUGCAGCAACGCCGCGUGGAGGAUGACGCAUUUCGGUGUGUAAACUCCUUUUAUAUGGGAAGAUAAUGACGGUACCAUAUGAAUAAGCACCGGCUAACUCCGU